UAACGCGGCCUCUGCAUCAGUCUCCUCUGACAAAGGCCGUCGUUUCAUUCUUUAUUAUGAGGUCGGUUUGAAAUGAUAGUAAAGCAAACAUUAAAAUGAAGCAUCAUACCCGUCAUCACAUCACCUCACUAUCUUUGUAAGUUGUAAAUUGUUCCAUUAAACCAAGAUAUAUACGGUUUAACUUUUCCAAAGCGGGCACUUUAAAAGCGGCGUGCUCCUUUAAAGCGACGUCUGCUGUGGUGAUUUUUCGAGCAUGUCGGUUCCUCAGCUACGCCGUGAUGCCGCGGCCCGGCUCCUUCAUGUGUAAAAUGCCCCUUCUGAUGGAUUCCUGGUGGAUUGCUGCUGCACUGUGCACCUGGACCAGAGUCAGCAGGUGUGCAAAUGGACAGAUGCCUUUGAGAUGAUGUCACACAUCCUGCCCUAAAGAGGAUUUCUCUUUACUAUUAUUCAGUUUGAUCAUCGGUGUCAUGGGCUCACAGCAUGGACGAGAUGAUGCUGAGGACACCAGCAUCAGCAGGAUGCCGAGUCAAAUGAUGACAAGGUGAGCGGUGAGGCAGCUAGGUCCUCAUGCUAAUGCUAACAAUAGCAAACAUCACAAACAUCACUACUGUAACUCAAUGACAUUUUGGAAGACGAACUUCCUGGUCCGGCGUCCUGGAUGAAAGUCCUGUGUUUGUCUCACGCCUCACUUCUCUUCAGUUUCACUUUAGUGAGCGCGAGCAACAUUGAGCUUGUCACAGAAUCAAAGUGGACGUACUUACUAUUCGCUGCUGUUUGCAGGCGGGUGAAAAGAACAAAAAGGGCUCCCGAAGGAAGGAGCCGUGAUGAGACAUCUUCUUGUGGUUCGGGGACGUGAUGUCCCCGGAGAACAUCUCCACCGCCGCGAUGCUUUUUUUUUUUUUUUGCUCUCCCAUUAUGACACGGACGCAUUGGCAACGCGGCUGACACUCAUCUCCCCCCCUCUCAUCAAACACGCACCAUCUAAAUGUGCGUUCCGUGUGCUCGGCUUCACACCUCCUCCCUCACACAGUGAUUUCUCACUUUGCCAGGCAGAGACUCUGUUCAGCCUCCCGCCAUCUCCCCCUGCUGUCGCUCUGCUGCGUUCGGAAGCCAGUCGGACACCUCGCCGCCGGGCUGUUUACAAGCGGAGAGGUCAGGGCGGGUCAGCGGGGCGGAUCAGCAGGUCGGGCCCCCCGAGGGGCCGAGAGAAACCAGCGGAGGUAAAACAAGCGAGAGGAGGGAAGAACGUCUCUGCUGGUGUUGGUCUCUGACCGGUUACACUCUGGAUCAUUCACCCUUAUAGGAACCUGGACCCUGAUAGGAACAAUAACCGGAAUAUUUAAUAAUUAGCCUGGAUUAAGAUGCUAACUGCCCCAUUUACAGCCAGUGUGGGAAAUACAGGGGGGGUCUCUGGGGUCUGUACAUUCUGUACACAUGACAUCCAUCGUAGUCUGUCCGUCCCCAAGGUUACGUUUUUUUCAUACUUGGGGUUUUUCCUGUGCCGAUGGGGGGGGUUUAGGGACAGAGGAGCGGAACUGCAAAGCCCUCUGGGGCAAAUUCUUUACUUGCAAUUUUGGUCUACAAAAGGAAUUUAAUUGAGGCCCCUUGAUUGACAUUUGAACGUAAUUGGCAUUAAAAUAUCUAUUAAAAACGUCCAAAUACGCGGCGGUUUUCACUAUUCAAACUAGGAGACAGUGUAGUGAGCGUGAGGGGACGUGAGCGGCCUGAAGGGACGUCCCGUGAGGACAAAACUUUUUGCCCGCAAAACAAACGCCUCUCCUCCGUCUUAUAGGGCAGGUGCAGAUGCUCUGUGUGUGUGUGUGUGUGUGUGUGUGUGUGUGUGUGUGUGUGUGUGUGUGUGUGUGUGCGACCAGCAUGCAACAGCACUGGGCUGAGAAAAGCUAAAAGAAAUGUUAUUUUCAAUCAGUCCACCUCAGCGAGCAGCAGGCAGCAGUCAAACACACAAGAGGAGACCCCUGAAGCGUUAAAGGACAUUUCCAAUGCGCGCACGUGUUCGUGUGCGUGCGUGUGAAAUAGAAGGAGCAGACCAUCGGCCAGGUGUCUUGCAGGGCGGCUGUGAGGAGGGUAGAGACGGAUGUCUCACUGCAGCAGAGCGUUCAGUAUUAUCUGUGCAGACACACGGACACAUCAGCAUGCAGCUGGGGACUCGUUGCAAACGGAACGUAAACACACCGCGCAGGAGAAGAAUAAAAGCGCCUGUUAGCAAGCGCAUGAACAGGUGAGCAGGCUCCAUGCGGCCGAUUUGUUAAACUGGUGACAGAGAAUGAAAGAGAAGCUGCCUGCAGGUCGCCGUGUAAAAGUGAACCACUUGGUCAGCAUGCCGAUGGACACGGAGGACAACGAAGCAACCCGUCGGUCUGCAUUCACUGCUAGAGUCAAAAGCCAAAGCAGCACGAGUAGGACUCUGAGUGCUAACGCUAGCAAUAUGCUAACUGUGCUAACGUUAGCUCGGCAGGUUUCUGAGUAGAGUUUAAACCUCUCCAGUCUCACUACAGCCAAAGAGACUUUGUGGAGGACAGACUGGUUCGGAGGACAGACUGGCCAGAGUACAGCCUGGUCAGAGGACAGACUGGUUCGGAAGGAAGACUGGUUUGGAGGACAGACUGGUCAGAGGACAGACUGGUCGGAGGACAGACCGGUUCGGAGGACCGACCGGUUCGGAGGACCGACCGGUCAGAGGACAGACUGGUCAGAGGACAGACUGGUCAGAGGACAGCCUGGUCAGAGGACAGACCGGUUCGGAGGACAGACUGGUUCGGGUGACAGACUGGUUCAGGGGACAGACCGGUCGGAGGACAGACUGGUUCAGGGGACAGACUGGUCGGAGGACAGACUGGUCAGAGGACAGACUGGUCGGAGGACAGACUGGUCAGAGGACAGACUGGUCGGAGGACAGACUGGUCGGAGGACAGACUGGUUCAGGGGACAGACUGGUCAGAGGACAGACUGGUUCGGAGGCGUUCGUGGCCCCUGUGACAGUUAACAAUAAGAAGCGGCUUCAGCUUAUCAGAGUUGCUCAAACGUGAGUAGAAGGGUCGUCCUUCUGACAGCCAUCAGAAACCCUGGAGAGUCUUUGUAAGAGGAGUAAAGCAUGUGGUCACCCGUCUAACUGUCACUCAAAGAAGCUCUUUCAUUAUCUCAACGAAACGUAUCAUUAGGUUUUAUCUUUUUUUUAAUUUUCCUUACUGUUCCCUCCCACUUCCUGCCUCCUCCAACCGACGACGGGGGAAGCAGCACAGCAUCUUGUGGUCAUCAGCAGUUUAACCCUCAGACGUCCACACCGUGCUUCCUCUUCAGCGUGCGUGUUUUGAGCAUCUUUGCUUUCAGAUUGCUGCGAUACGUUAGGUCUCUUUUUUUAAUCACAUCUAUUGUCCCUUCACGCAGGACGUGAAAUCAAUACCAAGAGAAACUCAUGCGCCAUGUGUCAUCUUUAGACUGGAGAUGAGAGAUGAAGAUUGGCAGCAACAAACACGCUGGAGGAGGAAACAGGUCCGUCUUUAGAUUCCAAUGCAAGCAGCUUAUUUUUAGAAGGACCGGGAGCAAACGUUUGCAUCUAAGCGGCGUGUUUGUCAGAGACGUAUGAACACAUCUACUGACAGCUGGAACAUACGGCGGCUUGGAAUGAACUUCUGUGUGGGGAAAUCUUCACUCUCUGCUAAUCAGGCAUGAUGAGAAUACAGGAAACGGGAACCAGAGGGACGCAUGAAAACCUCACUAAGAAGGUUUUAAGCCUUUUAUUGAACAGAAAAAUGUGAAAUCACACAAAUGUGCUCAUCUCAUGGUUUAUAGGUUACGCCUUUUAAGAAAUGUUCCUCCGUGGUUUCACAUUAGGAAAAAAGUAGUUCCCCAGAUACAAUUAUUUAAUAUACCACACAUAAAAAACUCAUUUAUAUAUUCACCGUAUUCGCCAAGCCGAACGUGCGUUUGUGCUCAUAACACGUUUUAAUCCAAACUCAACCAGAGGUGGCGGCGACAGCUGGACGGCGUUCCGAGGCCACACGCCUACACACGCAGAGGUUAAACAGCUCAGUGAAGCAGAAGCCGCGUGUGUUCAUGUAAACAUUUUGUUACAUACAUUACGUGUCCACGUGUCCACCAGAAGAGUCGAACCAGUCGGCCAGAAAUAGGUUUGCAUGUGGGCCGAUGAGUGGUCGAUAAAAUACAUGAAUCUAGUACUGUCGGAUCCAACUGUCCUCCAGGACAUCCAUGUAGAACCAUUCUAAUGUAACACACUUCAUAUUGUCAGUCAUUUGAGCCCGAGCCUGGAUAACUAAAUAAUUGUCUGCAUAAACCUGACUGAUGGCUUCCCUGGGCAGACUGAAGUUUAUUUUGAAAGGACUGAACACGCUCUGCUGGACUUUCUUAGUGCAACGCAGCAGGAAUCGUUGGUGAAUAGUUAUCUGGCGAUGUGGACAUGGCGCCUUUCUACCCAUCAGGUGUCACGCCGUCGCCUCUACAUCCGGGAUGUGUUGCACCCUAAUGAGGGGGCAACAACAUGCGUGUGCAUUUCCCUCCAUUUCUGGAACCGGUACAUGCUCCUGUGUGCAUGCAGCCCUGAUGCUUAUGGAUUUUUUUAUUCUCUCAUGAACGCGGGAGGAGGAGGCUUUGUUUAUGUGCGGCACAGGCGUCCCGCAAGAGGCCGGGAGGGAGACGAGGAGCGACGAAGAGUCCUUCAGCUGUAAUCGUGACGGCGACGCCGGUAAAUGCCAUUAGCGCCACGAGCACCUGCACGUCACGUUUGACUGAGCUGCAGCCAGACCUCCGCUGCAGUGCUCAGCUGGACCGCAUUCACUGUUAAUGGGACUCAAAGGUCAUCGAGGAGCUGAGAGCUUAGCAGCCUCGGUGAGACACAACAAUCUAUCGUAACCUUCAUUACUGCAGUCAACAGAGGGAUCAAUAGGGCCACGGGGCCCAUCCAUCCAUGGAUUAGCCUGAGAUUAGAAAGCCAAACCCGUCGCCCAAGUGCAUGCUGGUCAUCCGCUCCGGUGAAGGCCAGAGAACCGGAAGACCUUCAGCGUGACAAUUUGUCUGAAACUGCAAACAUGAUAUUACUUUAUAGGACAUCACUUUCUAAAGCACGAUGAGUCUACGUCGUAUAUGUUGACGGAAAUAAAAUAAUACUGUGACACAGUCCGGAGACGCGUGAGGCGAAGGAUCGAUUUGUUAAAACCCUCUCCUUAUUUCCCUCGUGUCUUCGGCCUAUUUGGAUUCCAGGAAUCGAGGCGAGUGAAGAGAAAUCAAGGAAGCGCUCACAUCACGAGUUGUUCCUGUUAUUUUGUCCACACAGCCCGCGCAGUGCGUGCACGUGCGCAGUGGAACAAACCAGGCCUGUAGUGUGCGCGCGGUGUUACACACGGCUGGUAAUAAAUACCACAAUCUGUAUCGGAGUUAUUUCUGUCCGGAGUUCUGAAGUGUGUGUGCGCGUGUGUGUGCGCGUGUGUGUGCGCGUGUGUGUGUGUCUGUGUGGAGUUCCACGCUGGUAAUAAAUCGAGUGAGGAGAUAAGACAACUAUCAUUCCUGCUCUGCUCCUCUUCCUCCUCCAGUGAUGGAGAUGCAGCGAGGUUUUAUUAUUUUCUCCAGACUCGGGGCUUGUGCUUGAUUAAAUUAAAGCCUGUAGAAGCUUGUCUGAACACACAAGGGGGUCAAAACCAAACAGAAGAGGGGACGUCUCCGGGGGGGACGGAGGCAGGGCCGAUGCAACAUGACGCAAUCAUGGAAUACGGGCGGAUGCAUGAACCGAGUAAAAAGGAUUGUCUGUGAAAUGCGGAUUCGGGAGAUGAAUCAACUUGAUAUGCGGGGGUCACUAAACCUAACGAACAGGGGUCAGAUCGGAGAAAACCACCGAUGGUUGUGUGGGAAUCGGUUUGGCAAUACAUGGCCUUUUGAAUUGAAACAGCAUUUAGUUUACUGCCAUUGGGUUUCUAUGGCGACGUGAGAUAAUCGAUCCGAAUGCCAAAAGGGAAAGAAUAUUGUGUGAGACGAGCCGGUGCGUGCGGUAGUAAUAAAAGAAUGUAAUGUGCUGUGGACUCUUCACAUCCUCACUGGCUGUUUGUUUGUUUGUUUGUUCUCCAUUGAGAGUUAUCGGCCUCAGCAGCAGUGAUAUGGUGCUUGUUAUAAUGCUUUACAGACUUAUACGAUAAUAAGGACGACAAACCUUCAUAGGAAAUAGGUGGAUGUGUUUAGGAUGGGAAUGACGUCCAAUGGAAGGAUCCUAAAACAACAUCCAUUAUUAUGACUAAUAUCUAUUAACAAACGUAGCUUUUAGUCAGUGCGUAAGUGGAAUAAUCUGACACACCAGGAACCGUAUCAGCGGUUUGUUCUGCUUCUGAAUUUGACUCGCUGAACUUGCGUGUCCGUUGGACCGAUGGCGUGAGGAGAAAGCGGCGUGGUGGAGCGUGGCGAGCCCAGCGGCUCCGUCCACACGCGUGUGGAUUCUUGGGGCUCCGAGUAAAGACCCGGGCUGAUUAGGACGUAACCAGCGACCAAUCGGAUCCUCCGAACCGACAGCCUGAAGUUUCCACACAUUGUGAGGGAAUAAGUCUCUGUUUGCAUCCGAUGGAUAAAUAGUUAAUACUUAAGAUUAAUAUUUCAUUCAUACAAACGAUGAUUUUAUUUUGUGUCAGCUACAGACCGGUAGUGAGACAUAUGGGAACUCCUGGUGGGUUUAAUUGGAUGUUUGAUUUUCCCAAUAUUAGCUUUCCGAUAUUGAAAGUCUCUGUUUCUGAAUUUUUCAGAGAUUCACGUGGAAACUUGAGAGCUUGAUAUUGGAAACCUGAUGUGGCCGAUUCAUUAGUGGGUUCCACGAAGAACCAACAAACAUUUUACCGCAUUGACAGCAUAAAUGAGAGGACAUCGUGGCUUCAAACCACCGGUGAACGGGAAUUAGCUGUCAAUCACAGGAGGCCCCGCCUUCACUGAAUGAACAUCAUGCUGUUGACUUGAAACUAGAGAUCGAGAGAAGUGGCGUCAUGUUCUCCUAGUGGCCGUCUGAUGAACUACAUCCCCUUCGGCCGCCGGGCUUCAAACCAAGAGACAACGCUUUGACCUUUGAACUACUGUGUCCGUGAUGUCAUGUAUCAUUAGCACAU
ensembl:lncRNA